rnacentral:rRNA from 1 species
UACGGAGGGAGCUAGCGUUGUUCGGAAUUACUGGGCGUAAAGCGCGCGUAGGCGGCUUUGUAAGUUAGAGGUGAAAGCCCGGGGCUCAACUCCGGAACUGCCUUUAAGACUGCAUCGCUUGAAUCUGGGAGAGGUGAGUGGAAUUCCGAGUGUAGAGGUGAAAUUCGUAGAUAUUCGGAAGAACACCAGUGGCGAAGGCGGCUCACUGGACCGGCAUUGACGCUGAGGUGCGAAAGCGUGGGGAGCAAACAGG